rnacentral:rRNA from 1 species
UGUAGUAAUAGAAAGUAAAAAUCGAUUGCACCAGUUCCCCAAGGAUCACUGAAGUUAAGCAACUUUGCUCUUGGUUAGUACCCGGAUGGGUGACCAUCUGAGGAAUUGCGUGUUGCUAGUU